UGCAAAUCAAUUUAAAUUGUAUUAAUUAUUUAUUUAUUGAUUUUUUUUUUUAAUUAAUUUAUUAAUAUUAAAAAUAAUUAUAUAACUUUUUUGUUUUAGUAAUUUUUAAUGAAAAAAUAUAUUUUAUAAUAGUUUAUUUGUAUUGUAAAAGGUUAUUGAAAUAAAUUGAAAAAUUUUUAUAUAAAAAGAAAAAUUUAUUUUUUGUACCUUGUGUAUCAGGGUUUAUUAAAUAAUUAAUAAUUAUUUUUGUUAAUUUCGAUUUUAUAAGAGUUAAUAAUUUAUAAAAUUUAAUGUUUUAUAAUUAUUUUUCAUAAAUUAUUAGAAAUGAAAUGUUAUUCGUUUAUAAAUGUAUCUAGUUUUUUUAGAAAUAAAUUUAAUUUAUAAAUUUUUAAUUUUAUUUAUUUUUUUUUAAUAAAUAAAUUUAUAAAUUUAAAUAUUUUUAGGGAUAAGCUUAAAAAUAAAAUUAUUAUAAAUAUAAUUAAAGUUAAUUUAUUAAUAUAUAUAUUUAGAAUUGAUAAUUGUUUAAAAGUUUGUUAUAAAUUAUUUUUUUUUAUUUUAUUGUGUAUAGUAAAGUAAAUAAAUAAAUUUUUAUUAUUUAUUUAUAUUUUAAUUUUUUAUAAAAAUUUUUUUUUAAUUUUUAAUGAAAAAUAAUAAUGAUAAAAUUAGUAUAUAUUAUAUUGUUUAUGUAAAUUUAAAUGGUAAGUUUAUAUAAAGAACUCGGCAAAUAUUUUACUCGCCUGUUUAACAAAAACAUGUCUUUUUGAGUUAUUUUUAAAGUCUAACCUGCCCAAUGAAUAAUUAUUUAAAUGGCCGCAGUAUUUUAACUGUGCAAAGGUAGCAUAAUCAUUAGUCUUUUAAUUGAGGGCUUGUAUGAAUGGUUGGACGAAGUAUAAUCUGUUUCAUAUAAAUUUAUUAUAGAAUUUUAUAUUUUAGUAAAAAAGCUAAAAUAUUAUUAAAAGACGAGAAGACCCUAUAAAUCUUUAUAAUUUUUAAAUUAUUAAUUUUUUGGUUUUUUUUUAUUUUUAUUUUAAUAAUUAUUUUGUUGGGGUGAUAUUAAAAUUUAAAAAACUUUUAUAUUAAUUAUUUUUCAUAAAUUUAUGAUUUUUUGAUCUUUUAUUAAUGAUUAUAAGAAUAAGUUACUUUAGGGAUAACAGCGUAAUUUUUUUGGAGAGUUCUUAUUGAUAAAAUAGGUUGCGACCUCGAUGUUGGAUUAAGAUAAAUUUUAGGUGUAGUUGCUUAAAUAAUAAGUCUGUUCGACUUU
rnacentral:rRNA from 1 species